rnacentral:rRNA from 3 species
UGGGGAAUUUUGGACAAUGGGGGAAACCCUGAUCCAGCCAUCCCGCGUGUGCGAUGAAGGCCUUCGGGUUGUAAAGCACUUUUGGCAGGAAAGAAACGUCAUGGGUUAAUACCCCGUGAAACUGACGGUACCUGCAGAAUAAGCACCGGCUAACUACGUGCCAGCAGCCGCGGUAAUACGUAGGGUGCAAGCGUUAAUCGGAAUUACUGGGCGUAAAGCGUGCGCAGGCGGUUCGGAAAGAAAGAUGUGAAAUCCCAGAGCUUAACUUUGGAACUGCAUUUUUAACUACCGGGCUAGAGUGUGUCAGAGGGAGGUGGAAUUCCGCGUGUAGCAGUGAAAUGCGUAGAUAUGCGGAGGAACACCGAUGGCGAAGGCAGCCUCCUGGGAUAACACUGACGCUCAUGCACGAAAGCGUGGGGAGCAAACA